CCAAUAGCGUAUAUUAAAGUUGUUGCAGUUAAAAAGCUCGUAGUUGAAUUUCGGAAUCUGUCCAUCGGUCGGGCUUUACUGUCCGUACUGGUGUGGUGGGUUCUUACCUUCUGAAUAACCAGCAUGUCAUUCACUUGGUGCGUUGGGGAAGCAGGACUAUUACCUUGAAAAAAUUAGAGUGCUCAAAGCAGGCCAGUGCCUGAAUACAUUAGCAUGGAAUAAUAAAAUAGGACGGCAUGGUUCUAUUUUGUUGGUUUCUAGGAUCACCGUAAUGAUUAAUAGGGAUAGUUGGGGGCAUUAGUAUUCAAUUGUCAGAGGUGAAAUUCUUGGAUUUAUUGAAGACUAACUUCUGCGAAAGCAUUUGCCAAGGAUGUUUUCAUUAAUCAAGAACGAAAGUUAGGGGAUCGAAGACGAUCAGAUACCGUCGUAGUCUUAACCAUAAACUAUGCCGACUAGGGAUCGGACGAUGUUAAUUUUUUAAUGACUCGUUCGGCGCCUUACG
rnacentral:rRNA from 1 species